rnacentral:rRNA from 1 species
CUCUCGCAUCGAUGAAGAACGCAGCGAAAUGCGAUAAGUAAUGUGAAUUGCAGAAUCCAGUGAAUCAUCGAAUCUUUGAACGCACCUGCCACCCCUUGGUAUUCCGAGGGGUACGCCUGUUUGAGUGUCGUGAAUUCCUCCACUCGACCGCUNUGCUGCGUGUCGAGCUGGGAUGUUGGGGGUGUUUUGCAGGUCCCUUUCGAGGUCUGCUCCCCUUGAAUGCAUUAGUGAGGUUCGGCGCUCGGCCUCGACGUGAUAAAGUCUAUCUACGUCGUGUCCGGUGCUUUGUUUGUCCUGGUCAGCCAGGGAAAAACGGGACUUUGCUUCCAACCGUCUUCGGACAACCGUGCGCUCGCGCACAACCUUCGAACUCGACCUCAAAUCAGGUGGGACUACCCGCUGAACUUAAGCAUAUCAAUAAGCGGAGGAAAAGAAACUAACAAGGAUUCCCCUAGUAACUGCGAGUGAAGCGGGAAGAGCUCAAAUUUAAAAUCUGGCGGUCUUUCGGCCGUCCGAGUUGUAAUUUAGAGAAGCGUUUUCCGCGC